rnacentral:rRNA from 1 species
ACCAGAACACGUUCGACGGUGAGGGAUGAAAGCUGGGGGAGCAAACCGGAUUAGAUACCCGGGUAGUCCCAGCUGUAAACGAUGCAGACUCGGUGAUGCAUUGGCUUGUGGCCAAUGCAGUGCCGCAGGGAAGCCGUUAAGUCUGCCGCCUGGGAAGUACGUACGCAAGUAUGAAACUUAAAGGAAUUGGCGGGGGAGCACCACAAGGGGUGAAGCCUGCGGUUCAAUUGGAGUCAACGCCAGAAAUCUUACCUGGGGAGACAGCAGAAUGAAGGUCAAGCUGAAGACUUUACCAGACACGCUGAGAGGUGGUGCAUGGCCGUCGCCAGCUCGUGCCGUGAGAUGUCCUGUUAAGUCAGGUAACGAGCGAGAACCCUGCGUCUAGUUGCUACCAUUACUCUCUG